AUACGUAGGGGGCGAGCGUUGUCCGGAAUUACUGGGCGUAAAGGGUGCGUAGGCGGCAUAUCAAGUCAGAUGUGAAAUACCACGGCUCAACUGUGGGGUUGCAUUUGAAACUGGUAUGCUUGAGUGCAGGAGAGGGAAGUGGAAUUUCUAGUGUAGCGGUGAAAUGCGUAGAGAUUAGGAAGAACACCAGUGGCGAAGGCGGCUUCCUGGACUGUAACUGACGCUGAGGCACGAAAGCGUGGGUAGCGAACAGGAUUAGAUACCCUGGUAGUCCACGCCGUAAACGAUGGAUACUAGGUGUAGGGGGUAUCGACCCCCUCUGUGCCGGAGUUAACGCAAUAAGUAUCCCGCCUGGGGAGUACGGCCGCAAGGCUGAA
rnacentral:rRNA from 1 species